rnacentral:misc_RNA from 1 species
GUAUUUUGUUUUAUAGGUCAUUACAACCAUUUAAAUACAUUCAAUAGUUUGUUACAAGUGUGUGUGUAAAAAGGCAAACUGUAAUCUAUUGAAAGCAAGCUAUUGACAAGCUUUCCAUCUCACAUUUUCAGUGAAGAUGCAACUACAGUCUACCAAAAAGUUCACAGGUGGUUGAAGUGAAGUUGAAAGGUGUGCACAUCCUUGUUACAGGCAGCUACAACCUCUCGUUUGCUUCAGUAAUGAUCCUUCCGCAGGUUCACCUACGGAAA